ACUCUCUCUUUUUUAUUGUUCUCCAUCUCCUAUCUUAAGUAUCGGAGGAUCUUCACCGGAGAAUACCCCAGUGAGAAUUUUUUACAGGUACUCGAAUGUAGCUCUAGCGGCAGCACUAAUUUAGCCACCUUCAUCUCGGCUAUCCGACCUUAGGCGUAGAGAUCGGGAGCAACAAGUGAUGUAUAACCUAUGGAAAUCAUAAUUUUGAAUAUCAUUGUAUUC
rnacentral:lncRNA from 1 species